rfam:Arabis alpina cultivar Pajares scaff_74689_1_contig_0, whole genome shotgun sequence.
UUAGGUUUUAUGAGAUAGCUAACACGUAAGAAACGGUCUUCUUUGUGGGGCACUUCUUAAAUGAAAAUCCAUCUGUUACCCUUGGCUUUUCAACUAA